rnacentral:rRNA from 1 species
GACGAACGCUGGCGGCGUGCUUAACACAUGCAAGUCGAACGGAAAGGCCCUGCUUUUGUGGGGUGCUCGAGUGGCGAACGGGUGAGUAACACGUGAGUAACCUGCCCUUGACUUUGGGAUAACUUCAGGAAACUGGGGCUAAUACCGGAUAUGAGCUCCUGCUGCAUGGUGGGGGUUGGAAAGUUUCGGCGGUUGGGGAUGGACUCGCGGCUUAUCAGCUUGUUGGUGGGGUAGUGGCUUACCAAGGCUUUGACGGGUAGCCGGCCUGGGAGGGUGACCGGCCACAUUGGGACUGAGGUACGGCCCAGACUCCUACGGGAGGCAGCAGUGGGGAAUAUUGCACAAUGGGCGGAAGCCUGAUGCAGCAACGCCGCGUGCGGGAUGACGGCCUUCGGGUUGUAAACCGCUUUCGCCUGUGACGAAGCGUGAGUGACGGUAAUGGGUAAAGAAGCACCGGCUAACUACGUG